AAUCCCCUGAUUGGACCGAAGCCCAACGCACCGCGCCGGGCACAUCGUAGGCAGACCGGGGGAUU
rnacentral:sRNA from 12 species